UACGUAGGGGGCUAGCGUUGUCCGGAAUCAUUGGGCGUAAAGCGCGCGUAGGCGGCCCGGUAAGUCCGCUGUAAAAGUCAAAGGCUCAACCUUUGAAUGUCAGUGGAUACUGCCGGGCUAGAGUCCGGAAGAGGCGAGUGGAACUCCUGGUGUAGCGGUGGAAUGCGCAGAUAUCAGGAGGAACACCAACGGCGAAGGCAGCUCGCUGGGACGGAACUGACGCUAAGGCGCGAAAGCGUGGGGAGCGAACAGG
rnacentral:rRNA from 1 species